rnacentral:rRNA from 1 species
GACGAACGCUGGCGGCGUGCCUAAUACAUGCAAGUAGAACGCUGAAGGAGGAGCUUGCUUCUCUGGAUGAGUUGCGAACGGGUGAGUAACGCGUAGGUAACCUGCCUGGUAGCGGGGGAUAACUAUUGGAAACGAUAGCUAAUACCGCAUAAGAGUAGAUGUUGCAUGACAUUUGCUUAAAAGGUGCAAUUGCAUCACUACCAGAUGGGCCUGCGUUGUAUUAGCUAGUUGGUGGGGUAACGGCUUACCAAGGCGACGAUACAUAGCCGACCUGAGAGGGUGAUCGGCCACACUGGGACUGAGACACGGCCCAGACUCCUACGGGAGGCAGCAGUAGGGAAUCUUCGGCAAUGGACGGAAGUCUGACCGAGCAACGCCGCGUGAGUGAAGAAGGUUUUCGGAUCGUAAAGCUCUGUUGUAAGAGAAGAACGAGUGUGAGAGUGGAAAGUUCACACUGUGACGGUAUCUUACCAGAAAGGGACGGCUAACUACGUG